GGGGUUGUGGCUCAGUGAUGGAGCACUUGCUUAGCACACAGGAGGCACUGGGUUCAAUCCCCAGCACCA
rnacentral:tRNA from 1 species